rnacentral:piRNA from 1 species
AAGUCCCAGUUGGGGCCAGGUGUUAAGU